rnacentral:rRNA from 1 species
UACGUAGGGGGCAAGCGUUGUCCGGAAUUAUUGGGCGUAAAGCGCGCGCAGGCGGUUCAGUAAGUUGGAUGUUUAAAGCCGGGGCUCAACCCCGGUACGCAUCCAAAACUGGUGGACUUGAGUGUAGGAGAGGAAAGUGGAAUUCCACGUGUAGCGGUGAAAUGCGUAGAGAUGUGGAGGAACACCAGUGGCGAAGGCGACUUUCUGGCCUAUAACUGACGCUGAGGCGCGAAAGCGUGGGGAGC